CCAGUUAGAGCUGCAUUGUUCCCUGUUCUGCAAGAUUUCUCGGUUUGGUUAUUGUGGAUGUACUCGUUUUUGACCUCGGCCUGACCUUCUGCCCCAGGUUUUUGGAUAAACUCCUGCUGGUACUUUUGAGUUCAGAGGAUUCUGUUAAGCAUUCUGAUGAGGGCUUGUCUUCUGCACAGUAACAAUUUGAUCUCUUGUAGUCUGUGGACGAAGCAAGCGGAACGACCCUGCAAAACGGGAACGUUGUGAGAGCUGGGAGGACACAGAGGCCUGGCUCGGACUGGAUAUUCUCCCAGCACCCAUAGGGUUACUCCCAGCGGAACCAAAGCGACUCACCUCUACACACCUUUGUUUCACUGAAUCGAUGAGAGGGAAGGACCCUAAAAGCACAACAGCAGUGUCUCACAAUCCGCUCGGCUGUACGGCUGAAAAUGAUACUGAGGCUGAAUGAGGUUAGAGACCCCUG